GGAAUCUUCCGCAAUGGGCGAAAGCCUGACGGAGCAACGCCGCGUGAGUGAAGAAGGGUUUCGGCUCGUAAAGCUCUGUUGUCGGGGACGAAUGUCAGAGAUGUAAAUAAUGUCUUUGAAUGACGGUACCUGACGAGGAAGCCACGGCUAACUACGUGCCAACAGCCGCGGUAAUACGUAGGUGGCGAGCGUUGUCCGGAAUUAUUGGGCGUAAAGGGAGCGCAGGCGGGAAGGCAAGUCAGUCUUAAAAGUGCGGGGCUCAACCCCGUGAUGGGAUUGAAACUGUCUUUCUUGAGUGCAGGAGAGGAAAGCGGAAUUCCUAGUGUAGCGGUGAAAUGCGUAGAUAUUAGGAGGAACACCAGUGGCGAAGGCGGCUUUCUGGACUGUAACUGACGCUGAGGCUCGAAAGCGUGGGGAGCGAACA
rnacentral:rRNA from 1 species